rnacentral:rRNA from 1 species
UACGUAGGGUGCGAGCGUUGUCCGGAAUUAUUGGGCGUAAAGAGCUUGUAGGCGGUUUGUCGCGUCUGCCGUGAAAAUCCGGGGCUCAACCCCGGACUUGCGGUGGGUACGGGCAGACUAGAGUGUGGUAGGGGAGACUGGAAUUCCUGGUGUAGCGGUGAAAUGCGCAGAUAUCAGGAGGAACACCUAUGGCGAAGGCAGCUCGCUGGGACGUUACUGACGCUGAGACGCGAAAGCGUGGGGAGCAAACAGG